AUUGAGAGUUUGAUCCUGGCUCAGGAUGAACGCUAGCUACAGGCUUAACACAUGCAAGUCGAGGGGCAUCGGGGAGGAAGCUUGCUUUCUCUGCCGGCGACCGGCGCACGGGUGAGUAACGCGUAUCAAACCUGCCUCAUACUCGGGAAUAGCCUUGCGAAAGUAAGAUUAAUGCCCGAUGUUCUCCAUUAUCCGCAUGUUUGAUGGAGUAAAGAUUUAUCGGUAUGAGAUGGUGAUGCGUCCCAUUAGCUUGUUGGCGGGGUAACGGCCCACCAAGGCAUCGAUGGGUAGGGGUUCUGAGAGGAAGGUCCCCCACAUUGGAACUGAGACACGGUCCAAACUCCUACGGGAGGCAGCAGUGAGGAAUAUUGGUCAAUGGACGGAAGUCUGAACCAGCCAGGUAGCGUGCAGGAUGACGGCCCUCCGGGUUGUAAACUGCUUUUAGUUGGGAAUAAAGUGCGGCUCGUGAGCUGUUUUUGUAUGUACCAUCAGAAAAAGGACCGGCUAAUUCCGUGCCAGCAGCCGCGGUAAUACGGAAGGUCCGGGCGUUAUCCGGAUUUAUUGGGUUUAAAGGGAGCGCAGGCGGAUUUUUAAGUCAGUUGUGAAAUACGGCGGCUCAACCGUCGGACUGCAGUUGAUACUGGAAGUCUUGAGUGCACACAGGGAUACUGGAAUUCAUGGUGUAGCGGUGAAAUGCUCAGAUAUCAUGAAGAACUCCAAUCGCGAAGGCAGGUAUCCGGAGUGCUACUGACGCUGAGGCUCGAAAGUGCGGGUAUCAAACAGGAUUAGAUACCCUGGUAGUCCGCACAGUAAACGAUGAAUACUCGCGGUUGGCGAUAUACUGUCAGCCGCCAAGCGAAAGCGUUAAGUAUUCCACCUGGGGAGUACGCCGGCAACGGUGAAACUCAAAGGAAUUGACGGGGGCCCGCACAAGCGGAGGAACAUGUGGUUUAAUUCGAUGAUACGCGAGGAACCUUACCCGGGCUUGAACUGCCAGUGACAGAUGCAGAGACGCAUUCUUCUUCGGACACUGGUGGAGGUGCUGCAUGGUUGUCGUCAGCUCGUGUCGUGAGAUGUCGGCUUAAGUGCCAUAACGAGCGCAACCCUCAUCCCUGUUUGCCAUCAGUUCGGCUGGGCACUCCAGGGAUACUGCCAUCGUAAGAUGUGAGGAAGGUGGGGAUGACGUCAAAUCAGCACGGCCCUUACGUCCGGGGCUACACACGUGUUACAAUGGGCGGUACAGAGGGCAACCAAGCCGUGAGGUGGAGCAAAUCCCUUAAGGCCAUUCUCAGUUCGGAUUGUAGGCUGAAACUCGCCUACAUGAAGCUGGAGUUACUAGUAAUCGCAGAUCAGAAUGCUGCGGUGAAUGCGUUCCCGGGUCUUGUACACACCGCCCGUCACACCAUGGGAGUUGGAGACACCCGAAGCCGACUAUCUAACCUUUUGGGAGAAGUCGUCGAAGGUGGAAUCAAUAACUGGGGUGAAGUCGUAACAAGGUAGCCGUAAAU
rnacentral:rRNA from 1 species